UGGGGAAUAUUGCACAAUGGGGGAAACCCUGAUGCAGCGACGCCGCGUGAAGGAAGAAGUAUCUCGGUAUGUAAACUUCUAUCAGCAGGGAAGAAAAUGACGGUACCUGACUAAGAAGCCCCGGCUAACUACGUGCCAGCAGCCGCGGUAAUACGUAGGGGGCAAGCGUUAUCCGGAUUUACUGGGUGUAAAGGGAGCGUAGACGGAGCUGCAAGUCUGAUGUGAAAGGCUGGGGCUUAACCCCAGGACUGCAUUGGAAACUGUAGAUCUUGAGUGCCGGAGAGGUAAGCGGAAUUCCUAGUGUAGCGGUGAAAUGCGUAGAUAUUAGGAGGAACACCAGUGGCGAAGGCGGCUUACUGGACGAUAACUGACACUGAGGCACGAAAGCGUGGGGAGCAAACAGG
rnacentral:rRNA from 1 species